UGGAAGAAGCAAGUUGUGGUGGUGGAGGGAGUAACAAGCUAAAGCUUGGCAUUGGAGUUGGGCUAAAGCCCUUUUGGUGGUUCAAUGAAACGCAGUUUCAUACUGCGUUGAGGCAAAGCUGACGGGGUCUUCUAUUCCCCUUUUCAUUUGGACAAAAUAUCGUGCAAGGGUUUUCACCCAAUUCUCUCUACCCACGAGCUAGGGUUCAUCAAGCGCAGUGAGAAGAAAGAUGCAGAGCAGCGACGCGAGCUCUAUGGGUCACAUAGGAAGACAACCCAGAAGGAUGAUCGGCCCAGAAAUGUGAUCAGAGAAGUGCGAAGCUCGAACGGAUGAAGUUUCAGAGUUCGUUGGAGGACACUCAAGAAGCGACCCUCCCUUUGGUCAUAACCCAACAUUAGGUAGCAAGUUCAUAGAUAAGGCCUUUGGGUUUAACCCAAAGCUCCUAAAUCUUAUAGUAGCACCAAAGAUACAGAGGGGAUUGCACGAGGGCACGUUUUCCCUUUUCAAUCAGGUACACAAGGUUUUGGGUUCUCCUUGUAGUGCUGUAGCAGAGGUGCCAAAAGAGCUUAGAUGAUUCUAAGCUGAAAGAACUGAAAAAUGAAGUAGAUUCUCUAAAAAUAUAAAAGGUCUUAUGCUUUGGUUGUGACUCUACUUGUCUGGGCACAAUGGAGAAAAUACGACUAUCGUACAUCUAGUUAUGAUUACUCACAGCUAAUUGGUGUUGAAAAGGAAUGGCAUGCCAUACUAUCGGAGCUUCAAAUGAUGAAUACAAAUUGAUUGCCAGUUGUCACAGCACCUACAUUCUGAAAAUAAGCUGAGCAAAAGGUUUCCCAUUGGAUUAGAAGAACAGAUAAAGAAAUGGGAUGCAGAUAAAAUAAGGAAGUUUCAUAAGCGUUGGUAUUUUUCCCUGCAAAGGUUACCCUGUACAUUGUGGGGGAUAUUGAUAACAUAUCAAAGACUGUUUACCAGAUUGAAGUAUGUCCUCCAUAUUCUAAUUAAUAAGCUGCUAAUGAUCAUGGUUAUACUAUGUAGGAAUCUUUUGCAAUAAACCCUUGUCAAACAGGUAGUUUGUGGACAAGCCGGUGUAGACAAUGAGAAAGGUUCUAUAGCCAGUCCAAGUGCAUUUGGUGCAAAUGGUCAGUUUACUUGUUCCAAAGCUUUCUGUUGGUUUGGGUGGAAAUUCUAUUGAAAGAUCAGCAGUGGAUCAAUCCAAAAUAUUCAAUAAGGAAAGGCAAGCUGUCCGUCCUCUAAAGCAUAAUUUGUCACUUCCGGGGAGUGGUUCUGACUUGAAGCCACCACAAAUAUUUCAGCAUGAGUUACUUCAAAAAAUUUCAAUUAAUUUGUUCUCUUAUUUCUUAGUCAAACUUACAGUGCAGAUUUUUGUAGUUACUUUUUGUUUUGCAUGUGCUUAAAAUUUUUGGAGCUGACGUAGUUGGAGACUUCUUGUGGUGGAGAAAUGGACAACGGAUCAUGUUGGACCUAACUCAAAAGGAUAGGAACAUGUGAUUUACUAGUUCAUUUCAAGGUCUACUGGUUUAAUGAACAAUUUGAAUAAAAUAUUGUCAUAUUCAUAUAGCUUUAGUGUUGAGCAAUAACCUUUAUAGGCAAGUUGGAAUUCUAUCCAACUUGUGCUUCUCAUGCAUCUUCUUAUGGCACUAAAACCUUCUUGCUUUAAAUGUUGUCAAGUACUUGCUAGAAUAUUUGUAGUGGCAAGUUAUGUCAUUCUAUAGCAGCAAUGUGGCGUAGAUCAGCCUCCCGCCGAUUAAAAAACUCUUGCAAUGUUGCAUCAUUUUCUGCUUCUAGCAAAUUCUUAGACUGAGCAGUUAUGAAAUCCCUUUUUGUCUAUGCUUUAUAACAUGACAUACUCCUUUUUUGCAGAGCUUUUAUUAUUUUACUCUUUUUUAUGUUUGCAUACAAAGAAUUCUACAGCUACGGUCUCUUCCCCCAUAAAAAAGGGUGUAUCUUAAAAUUUGUGUUUUGAAUUUGACUCAACUCUAUAAAAAUAGCUUAAAAGAUUAUCAUCAAUCCAGAUGAUAGUUAUGAUCUGAGAGAUGGGGAUGAAGUCCUUGUCUAUACUCCAAGUCGUCUUCCAAAGGUUAUGUUUACGUUUCAACUUCUCUUACUGAACUGGUUCCAUAUAUGAUUUCCUUAUUGGGAAAUAUGCUGAUUUGGUGCAUAGAAUCUUGUAUAUGUUGUGCACUCUCUUGGAUCUAUUAAAUUAAUCAUAGUAUUAGUAGGUGAAUUGUGAGACAUUACCUUGUGUUUUUAAUGUUAUAUACUUUUUACAGGUAUGUAAGGGACUUUGGUCGAGGAUACGUGAUCUACCUAAAUUUCCAGUGAAGAUAUUAUUUUGUGGCUGGUGCCGUGAUAUUGAUGAUAUGAUCAUGGUUUUAGAGGCAGGCACUCUUGGCUCCUGGUUCAGAGCUUUGGAUCUUCAACAAGGUCCUUGAAAAGGAAACGAGAGAAGAAGCUUGUUGAUGGUGGACAUGAUGUUUCUGAGAUAGAAAACAUAAAACUUGUCCAUAGGGCGGGGAAUGCUAUAGUUUGGUGGCAUGGGGAGGGUCUUCCACAGGAGACUUUUGAUUCUCUAAAUUUUGAAUCUUUAUCUCUUCAUAUUUGUUGAAGUAUAAUGUCUUUAUUAUUAUUAAUAUUUAUGUUAGGGUUUUGUUAGGGGCUUCCUGCCCUUUUACUUUCUAGAACUACUGUCUCUUAUAAAUACAGUAGUAAGUUGUAUCAGGUUUUUCUUAAUGAAAAAUAAGACUUUUCAUCUUCCCUCAACCCUGCAAGUUGGUAUUAAGAUAUUUUUGCUAAUGAUGUACAACGUCUUUUCGAUGCAAUCUAAAGAGCAACUUCUCUCAAACAAGUCAACCAUGAUAUGGUUUCCCAUAUAGCAAAAGCUCGGGCUGCGGUAGAAGAGUUAAAGAACUUCUUUAUAGUUGAUUCAUUAGAGAAUAUCAACAAAAAACAUGACAAGUUUU